CUCUUAUCCAGAGCGACUUACAAAUUGGUGCAUUCACCUUAUGAUAUCCAGUGGAACAACCAAUUUACAAUAGUGCAUCUAAAUCUUUUAGGGGGGGGGGGGGGGGGUUAGAAGGAUUACUUUAUCCUAUCCCAGGUAUUCCUUAAAGAGGUGGGGUUUCAGGUGUCUCCGGAAGGUGGUGAUUGAGUCCGCUGUCCUGGCGUCGUGAGGGAGCUUGUUCCACCAUUGGGGUGCCAGAGCAGCGAACAGUUUUGACUGGGCUGAGCGGGAACUGUGCUUCCUCAGAGGUAGGGAGGCGAGCAGGCCAGAGGUGGAUGAACGGAGUGCCCU
rnacentral:lncRNA from 1 species